AUUGAACGCCGGCGGCAGGCCUAACACAUGCAAGUCGAGCGGAUGAGGGAAGCUUGCUUCCCGAUUUAGCGGCGGACGGGUGAGUAAUGCCUAGGAAUCUGCCUAUUAGUGGGGGAUAACGUUCCGAAAGGAACGCUAAUACCGCAUACGUCCUACGGGAGAAAGUGGGGGAUCUUCGGACCUCACGCUAAUAGAUGAGCCUAGGUCGGAUUAGCUAGUUGGUGAGGUAACGGCUCACCAAGGCGACGAUCCGUAGCUGGUCUGAGAGGAUGAUCAGCCACACUGGAACUGAGACACGGUCCAGACUCCUACGGGAGGCAGCAGUGGGGAAUAUUGGACAAUGGGCGAAAGCCUGAUCCAGCCAUGCCGCGUGUGUGAAGAAGGUCUUCGGAUUGUAAAGCACUUUAAGUUGGGAGGAAGAGUUGUAAGCUAAUAUCUUGCAGCUUUGACGUUACCAACAGAAUAAGCACCGGCUAACUCUGUGCCAGCCGCCGCGGUAAUAC
rnacentral:rRNA from 1 species